GUACACGCUGUGACUAGCAUAUCAAUAAGCGGAGGAAAAGAAACUAACAAGGAUUCCCCUAGUAACGGCGAGUGAAGCGGGAAGAGCUCAAAUUUGAAAUCUUAAAGGGUUUCCCUUUACGAAUUGUAGUUUAAAGAAGUGUUUUCUGUUGAGGUUUUGGUAAAAGUUCUUUGGAAUAGGACAUCAUAGAGGGUGAGAAUCCCGUAUUUGACCUUUACUUUCAACUUUGUGAUACACUUUCAAAGAGUCGGAUUGUUUGGGAAUGCAGUCCAAAAUGGGUGGUAAAUUUCAUCUAAAGCUAAAUAUUGGCGAGAGACCGAUAGCGAACAAGUACCGUGAGGGAAAGAUGAAAAGAACUUUGAAAAGAGAGUUAAACAGUACGUGAAAUUGUCAAAAGGGAAGCGUUUGACACCAGUGUUGUUUUUCUGAAAGUCAAUUAAAGAACUGUUGGAUUUAGUAGUUGUAUUAGACCUUUAAUCAGCUACUGUUUAGUUUUGAGCUUUUCUUUAAUGCACUUUUCAGUUAACAAGUCAACAUCAAUUUCUUUUGCUGUAAAAAAGCUUGAGGAAGGUGGCUUGAGAUUCGUCUUAAGUGUUUAUAGCCUCUUGCCUAUGCAGUCGGAGAGAUUGAGGUCUGCAGCGUAGAUCCUUCGGGGCUAAAUGCAUUUGUGCUAAGUUAUAGCAUUUUAUAGACAACUUGUUGACUAUGAUUUGUCUUGUAGCUUACUCGCUUAUGUUAUUUUACCUACGCUUAGGAUGUUGACGCGCGUGUGUGCGUG
rnacentral:rRNA from 1 species